AGGUGGAACAACCACAGUGGUGGCGGCUAGCUCUGGAGCCCUGGAUUCAGCUCCCACAGUAGCUACAGAGCUCUUAGCUUGCAGGGGCCUGGCUGCUCCGGGGGCGG
rnacentral:pre_miRNA from 1 species